UUACGGCCAUAUCACGCCGAAACAGCGGUUCCGGUACGAUCACCGAAGUUACGCAACGUCGAGCUUGGUCAGUACCUAGACGGGUGACCCCUUGGGAAUAACAAGUACUGUAAG